UCUUUUGUGAUGCCAAGUGUCUUCUUGGUCAAAUGGUCUAAUACUUUCAUGGCCUAUUUUAGGUAUCCAGUUUGCUUCCCUAUGGAGGAAUGCCUGGUUGCUGCUGAGGGAUUUAUGCAGGAUGUUAUGGAGAACAUUCUUCAGUCCCCUCCUAUGAAGGAAGAGCACAGUGAAGUUCAGAAAUGAGGUCUCACCUUGCAAAAAUAUCAGGGGUCUUCACAUUCACAAGUGGACUUUCUGGCUCAGAGAAGAACUGCUGAUAGUUGAAAGGUGCAUUGAUGUUUGUAAGUAACUCCAGCCAGGGACUUGCCUGGUGUUCCAGUGGUUAAGAAUUUGCCUUGGAUUGCACAGGAUGCAGGUUCAAUCCCCGGUCAGGAAACUAAGAUCCCACAUGCUACAGAGCAACUAAACCCUUGUGCCCCAAAUACUGAGCCUGUUCGCUCUGGAGACCAUGUGUCACAACUAGAGAGUCUGUGUUCCUCUCUGAAAGAUCUCUCAUGAUGCCCUGAAGAUCUCGAGUGCUGCAACUAAGACCCGAUGCAGUAAAGUAAGUAAAUAAAUAUUAAAAAAAGAAAGCACAUCCAUUUCCCACAGGACCCACAGUUUCUGAUUCUGGAGACAGAGUAAUUAUCACUACACCUGUGGGGCUUCUACCCCUCUAUCCCCAGCUGGUCUCUGUUCGGGGACAUUCCUCCCUCUUUUCUUUCCAUCAACCACCUUUUCUCCUCUAUGUUGAUACUGACUCCCUUGAGCUGUCCUAUUUGUUGCUACGGUCCCAUUAUUCUUGAUUUUGCUUAAUUGCACUCUCCCACCUUCUAUGUUGUAUACUUCUUGGGUCGCUGGAUUCUUCACUUCUGUCCCUGAAGACCACUGCAGUCACAUUCUGAGUCACCUCUGAUCUGGCCCUCAACUUACUCCACCUUUGGCCAAGCUUCAACUCCCUCCACCUGCAAGGAAGUCCUUCACAUGAACUGGUCACCAUGUGAAUUGAUGGUCUGUUUUGAGCCUUGCUACAAUCAGCUCCAUCCCAACCACAACAUGACCUGCUCAGAAGAAGGCAUUCAAGAGAGAAAAUGACAUGUAUAAUAAAGUUACUACUUCC